rnacentral:vault_RNA from 1 species
GGGCCAGCUCAGCCCAGUGGUUCCCUUGAAAUAUAUCUGCAAUGACAUUGUAAGCACUUUGAGUCCUGUGGCCACUGCCACUGCCUGGCCUUUUA